rnacentral:lncRNA from 1 species
UGGAAAUGCUUAAUGCUGACUUAUUUCAGAGCUCACCCCGUGCUGCAGCGUGCGAGUAGAGGAGGGCGAGCGUGCACAACUGCCCCUCUAUGGGAUGAUUCUCCUUUCCUUCCUCUUUCUACGUCUUUCUUUUUUUUUUCCUUUCUUUUCUCUUUUUUCCCUAUUUAUUUGUUCAUUUCUGGUUGGUGUUUUAAAGCCCCCCUUCAUAUCUCAGGACGGCUCUAUCUCAGGGAGUUGGGGCUGUGCUAUUGUCCACAGCCCGAGUUGCUGUACAAGGAGAAGCUGCAUUGCAUUCAUGUAUUCGUGCACGUUCCGCUCCUCCCAUGAUAUGGGGAUUCACUCCACAGGUGCUGCAUGGAGCAAAUCCCCCAAUUCCAGUCCUGCAGUGCAAGUUCUGGGGGGAUACUCUCCAUAUUUAAGGCUGCUGGUACAGCAAAUGGCAUCUUGGUUUUCCCUUAAUUGUCUGCCCACCCAACCCAUUCUCACUGAAGUCCCAAACCCUUCUCAGCUCUCUGUGUUGCUUUCCAGCUCCCACAUGGUUGGAGGCACUGGCAGGAGGAGCUGUAGCCCACGGCCAGGUGAGGGCAGUUUAAGGACACACAAGAGCUUUGCCCUGCUAAGCUGUGCAUUCAGCUGCUGGCACUGUGAUUCCUGGCCAACAGCUGAUGCACUGCAGCCCCUAAGGGAAGAAGGAAAGACAGUGGAUCAUUCCCCCCACAAGCUGUGGGGGUGCAGUUGCAGGUUGAUAGCACCUGGAAGGCAAAAAACAAAACAAAACAAAACCCAACACAAAAGUCCUGAGGUGGUAAUGCAUGCAUGUUCAUGUCUUCAUGUAGAGUGUUCGUCAGUGCCUUAUGUCAUGAUUUACAAAUAA